rnacentral:rRNA from 1 species
GACGAACGCUGGCGGCGUGCCUAAUACAUGCAAGUCGAACGCAGUGGGGACGGGUGAGUAACACGUGGGUAACCUCCCAUCAGAGGGGAUAACACUUGGAAACAGGUGCUAAACCGAUACUGAUGGAUGGACCCGCGGUGCAUUAGCUAGUUGGUGAGGUAACGGCUCACCAAGGCCACGAUGCAUAGCCGACCUGGGGGGGGGAUCGGGCACACUGGGAAUGGGACCAGGCCCAGACUCCUACGGGAGGCAGCCGUAGGGAAUUCUCGGGAAUGGACGAAAGUCUUACCGAGGAACGCCGCGUGGGUUAAGAAGGUUUUCGGAAUGUAAAACUCUGUUUGUAGAGAAGCGGUAUCUUAACAGGAAGCCACGGCUAACUACGUGCCAGCAGCCGCGGUAAUAC